CAGUAGCCGCGGUAAUACGAAGGGUGCAAGCGUUACUCGGAAUUACUGGGCGUAAAGCGUGUGUAGGUGGUUGUUUAAGUCUGUCGUGAAAGCCCUGGGCUCAACCUGGGAAUUGCGAUGGAUACUGGGCGACUAGAGUGCGGUAGAGGAUAGUGGAAUUUCCGGUGUAGCAGUGAAAUGCGUAGAGAUCGGGAGGAACAUCAGUGGCGAAGGCGGCCAUCUGGGACAACACUGACGCUGAGGCACGAAAGCGUGGGGAGCAAACAGGAUUAGAUACACCGGUAGUCCCUGUCUCUUAUAC
rnacentral:rRNA from 1 species